rnacentral:lncRNA from 1 species
AAAAUCCAUACGCAAAAACCUGUCUCCCCAAAGAAGACCUAGUAUUUGUUAAAUUCCCACACAACACCAGUAAGAAAUGCAGUUUUCUAACUUUCUUAGACCUGUACAUUGUCCUUCUUUUGUUAAUAACUUAUCCUCUUGUUUGUUUUGUCUUCAUUAGCUUCCUCUUCCACAGUAGACAAAAUCACCACCUGUAGCAAAAGAUGAAUGCAGCCAUUUCAGUUGUUCAGAGGACAUAUGGGCAAUGUUGCAUAUAAGACACAGAAGAGCACACAUUCAGUGAGGAUUGUCCUGUUAGACAACGGUUACUGCACAGGUAUCAAGACCAAGGCUGUGAGACACAGACUGCAGCCCCAUGCUGCAGAAAGAGGAAAAGGAUCACUAAGAGUAACUGAGGUGGUACAGAGCUGAACAACAUUAUUUUUGUGGGACAGAGAUAAGCAGCAGGCUGAAUGGUGGUGACAAAAUGACGGGAAGGGCUGCUAAUUGUGGGGCCUUAGAUUACAGCCUACCAGAAAACAAAAACAAAAAUGCAAGAACAAAACCUGUUAAUUAUGGAAGCUAAACACAGUUUUCAUCCCUGCAACCAUGUUCUUGGCACAGGUUUACAGAGACCACAAAGGCCCUUAAAUGCACAUUGAUCUCAAGCUGAUCUGGUCUGUAUUCACCACCUCACAUCAGUUUGUGAACCAUGCAGGGAAUAUACUCAGGAAUGAGUUUCAAGUCUUCUAUAAGGCUAUAGUGGAAAGUGCUUUUGAUGUAAUAAUACAGAGCUAAACAUUAAAAAGAAUGCAAAAAACCAGGAGGCUCACACAACCAUUUUACAAAUAUGUCCUUUUUUAUCUAUGUCUCAGGGGAUCUGAUAGAAAGCAUGUCAUGACAUGCUAUACUAUUGAGCUAUAGAAAGAUGUCAUGAAGCCAGAAUAUACCAAUGGUACAGUGAAGAUCUACUGGAAUGUGUCCCUCCUCAUAGCAGGGACCUCUAGUUGUAACUAGAUUAUCUUUAAGGUCCCUCCCAAACAAAACCGUUUUAUGAUUCUAUGAUUCUGUAAUUCUGUGAUAAGAUAAUGCACCUAUGGAAGAAUAAGCUUUUAAGGAAUCAUUUAAAUACGAUGAAGGUAGUAUACAGGAAAGUAGUGUAAGUAAUCAGAAUUCUAGAAAAUGAAAGUGGAAGAGUUGAAUGAAUUGCUGUGGUUUAGCUCUGAGAAAACAUGACUCUAUUGUUUAAUAAAAUUUGCUGUAAAUAAAAAUGUAGUGAUGAG